AGCAGUCGCCGCGGGAAUACGAACCGUGCGAACGUUAUUCGGAAUCACUGGGCUUAAAGCGCGUGUAGGCGGAUGGGAACGUCGGUUGCUGAAAUCCCCCGGCUUAACCGGGGAACUGGCACCGAUACGGCUCGUCUGGAGGGAGGUAGGGGGGUCUGGAGCUUCCGGUGGAGCGGUGAAAUGCGUUGAGAUCGGAAGGAACGCCCGUGGCGAAAGCGAGGCCCUGGACCUUUUCUGACGCUGAGACGCGAAAGCCAGGGGAGCGAACGGGAUUAGAUACCCCAGUAGUCCCUGUCUCUUAUA
rnacentral:rRNA from 1 species